AACUACGUGCCAGCAGCCGCGGUAAUACGUAGGUGGCAAGCGUUGUCCGGAAUUACUGGGUGUAAAGGGAGCGCAGGCGGGUGAUCAAGUCAGCUGUGAAAACUACGGGCUUAACCCGUAGACUGCAGUUGAAACUGUUCAUCUUGAGUGAAGUAGAGGUUGGCGGAAUUCCGAGUGUAGCGGUGAAAUGCGUAGAUAUUCGGAGGAACACCGGUGGCGAAGGCGGCCAACUGGGCUUUAACUGACGCUGAGGCUCGAAAGUGUGGGGAGCAAACAGGAUUAGAUACCCUGGUAGUCCACACUGUAAACGAUGAUUGCUAGGUGUGGGGGGUCUGACCCCUUCCGUGCCGGAGCUAACGCAAUAAGCAAUCCACCUGGGGAGUACGACCGCAAGGUUGAAACUCAAAGGAAUUGACGGGGACCCGCACAAGCAGUGGAUUAUGUGGUUUAAUUCGAAGCAACGCGAAGAACCUUACCAGGGCUUGACAUCCAACUAACGAAGUAGAGAUACAUUAGGUGCCCUUCGGGGAAAGUUGAGACAGGUGGUGCAUGGUUGUCGUCAGCUCGUGUCGUGAGAUGUUGGGUUAAGUCCCGCAACGAGCGCAACCCUCGCCAUUAGUUGCUACGCAAGAGCACUCUAAUGGGACCGCUACCGACAAGGUGGAGGAAGGUGGGGACGACGUCAAAUCAUCAUGCCCCUUAUGUGCUGGGCUACACACGUAAUACAAUGGCCAUCAACAGAGAGAAGCAAUACCGCGAGGUGGAGCAAAACUUCAAAAAUGGUCUCAGUUCGGACUGCAGGCUGCAACCCGCCUGCACGAAGUUGGAAUUGCUAGUAAUCGUGGAUCAGCAUGCCACGGUGAAUACGUUCCCGGGUCUUGUACACACCGCCCGUCACACCAUGGGAGCCGGUAACACCCGAAGUCAGUAGUCUAACCGCAAGGAGGACGCUGCCGAAGGUGGGAUUGGCGACUGGGGUGAAGUCGUAACAAGGUAGCCGUAUCGGAAGGUGCGGCUG
rnacentral:rRNA from 1 species